rnacentral:rRNA from 1 species
GACGAACGCUGGCAGCGUGCUUAACACAUGCAAGUCGAGCGAUGAAGUUCCUUCGGGAAUGGAUUAGCGGCGGACGGGUGAGUAACACGUGGGUAACCUGCCUCAUAGAGGGGAAUAGCCUUUCGAAAGGAAGAUUAAUACCGCAUAAGAUUGUAGUACCGCAUGGUGCAGCAAUUAAAGGAGUAAUCCGCUAUGAGAUGGACCCGCGUCGCAUUAGCUAGUUGGUGAGGUAACGGCUCACCAAGGCGACGAUGCGUAGCCGACCUGAGAGGGUGAUCGGCCACAUUGGGACUGAGACACGGCCCAGACUCCUAGGGGAGGCAGCAGUGGGGAAUAUUGCACAAUGGGGGAAACCCUGAUGCAGCAACGCCGCGUGAGUGAUGACGGUCUUCGGAUUGUAAAGCUCUGUCUUCAGGGACGAUAAUGACGGUACCUGAGGAGGAAGCCACGGCUAACUACGUGCCAGCAGCCGCCGUAA